GUGCGUGUGCGUGAUUAUAAAUAUUGAUAUUGUACUCAUGCAGAGUCCUCCUCACCCCCAGUCACGAAGGCAUCAAAAAGAGUCCUGCCGAAAGGAAAAUCAAGCUUGUCCUGAUUCUUCUGUUCGCCUUCCUGACCAUUCUCCUGGCCGCGCUGUGCUACGCCCUGUUCAACUUUCUCACAGCGGCACCCGAGCCAAACACUCGUGCGCCCUGGGUCGUCACCGCUGAGGGAGAGAUCGACGACGGCGACGAGACUUCCACAGAGGAAGCAACUUCUGAGGGGAGUCAGGUGGACCCUGUGUCUCCUACGGUCACCGUGCCUGCGGUUAGCCGUACUACUUCAUCUAUCGGUGAGGAAGUGACUCCGGAUGACUCGAUGAGUGCUACGACUCCACAGGCCUACGACAACGAGCCUUCCUUUCCUGACCGGAACAGUGACUUGACCACGGCGGGCACCACGACCACGGGUACGACUUGGUGGACUGCUCUUGCGACUCCCGAACUUAGCACCGCCGCUACAAAAGCCGGCGUGUCCUUGACGGCUACGCCGACACGCGUUGUUACCGAGAAAAACAGAACGACAACUGCCAGCAUGUCUAUGACUACGUGGCCAGGUGCCGCGACUCCGAGGCUUAAGA